GGAUGCCUACGGGGGGCAGCAGUGGGGGAUAUUGCACAAUGGGGGGAACCCUGAUGCAGCAACGCCGCGUGGGUGAAGGAGUACCCCGGUACGUAAAGUCCUAUCGGCAGGGAAGAAGAUGACGGUACCUGACUAAGAAGCCCCGGCUAACUACGUGCCAGCCGCCGCGGUAAUACGUAGGGGGAAAGCGUUAUCCGGAUUUACUGGGUGUAAAGGGAGCGCAGACGGCAGU
rnacentral:rRNA from 1 species